rnacentral:rRNA from 1 species
UAAUGGGUAGUUUUGUCCAGAUAGUUUACUUUAGAAAAAUUAGAGUGUUCAAAGCAGGCAUAAUUGGCAUCAUGAAUACAUUAGCAUGGAUAAUAGAAUAUGACUAUUGGUCUUAUUUUGUUGGUUUCUAAGGCCAAAGUAAUGAUUGAUAGGGAUAGUUGGGGCCGCUCGUAUUGAGUUGUCAGAGGUGAAAUUCUAGGAUUUACUCAAGACGAACUAAUGCGAAAGCAUUCGGCAAGGAUGUUUUCAUUAAUCAAGAACGAAAGUUGGGGGAUCGAAGAUGAUCAGAUACCGUCGUAGUCUCAACCAUAAACUAUGUCAACCGAGGAUCCGGUAGCGUUACAUGGAUGACCUUCCGGGCACUCUGUGAGAAAUCAUAAGUAUUUGGAUUUCGGGGGGG